rnacentral:rRNA from 1 species
GUGGGGAAUUUUGGACAAUGGGGGCAACCCUGAUCCAGCCAUGCCGCGUGCGGGAAGAAGGCCUUCGGGUUGUAAACCGCUUUUGUCAGGGAAGAAAUCCUUUGGGUUAAUACCUCGGAGGGAUGACGGUACCUGAAGAAUAAGCACCGGCUAACUACGUGCCAGCAGCCGCGGUAAUACGUAGGGUGCGAGCGUUAAUCGGAAUUACUGGGCGUAAAGCGUGCGCAGGCGGUUUUGUAAGAUCGAUGUGAAAUCCCCGGGCUCAACCUGGGAACUGCAUUGGUGACUGCAAGGCUGGAGUGCGGCAGAGGGGGAUGGAAUUCCGCGUGUAGCAGUGAAGUGCGUAGAUAUGCGGAGGAACACCGAUGGCGAAGGCAAUCCCCUGGGCCUGCACUGACGCUCAUGCACGAAAGCGUGGGGAGCAAACAGGAUUAGAUACCCCAGUAGUCC